CUCAUCCCAAAGGUUCCGGGGGCCUCGGACAUCCGCCAGUUCCGCUCGAUCAUCGUGAUUAACGUGAUCUUCAGGAUCCUGGCCAAAGGGUAUGUCAAUAGGGUGACCCUUCUUGCGGACUUGUCACCCACCCCAACCAAUCCGCCUUCAUCAAAGACCGAUUUUAUUUUGGAUGGGGUGUUGGUCUUUCACGAAAUCAUCCAUGAAGUCCGAUCCAAGCACCACCGCGUUGUGUUCCUUAAGCUCGACUUUCAUAAGGCCUACGACACGGUCCACUGGCCCUUCCUCCGGGAAGUAUUGCUUCGGAAGGGCUUCGACGACCGCUGGGUGACCCGCGUUAUGCAACUUGUCACCUGCGGUCGGACGGCGGUCAACAUUAACGGCGAGAUCGGUCCCUAG
rnacentral:rRNA from 1 species